rnacentral:rRNA from 1 species
GACGAACGCUGGCGGCGUGCCUAAUACAUGCAAGUCGAACGCUUCUUUCCUCCCGAGUGCUUGCACUCAAUUGGAAAGAGGAGUGGCGGACGGGUGAGUAACACGUGGGUAACCUACCCAUCAGAGGGGGAUAACACUUGGAAACAGGUGCUAAUACCGCAUAACAGUUUAUGCCGCAUGGCAUAAGAGUGAAAGGCGCUUUCGGGUGUCGCUGAUGGAUGGACCCGCGGUGCAUUAGCUAGUUGGUGAGGUAACGGCUCACCAAGGCCACGAUGCAUAGCCGACCUGAGAGGGUGAUCGGCCACACUGGAACUGAGACACGGCCCAGACUCCUACGGGAGGCAGCAGUAGGGAAUCUUCGGCAAUGGGCGAAAGUCUGACCGAGCAACGCCGCGUGAGUGAAGAAGGUUUUCGGAUCGUAAAACUCUGUUGUUAGAGAAGAACAAGGACGUUAGUAACUGAACGUCCCCUGACGGUAUCUAACCAGAAAGCCACGGCUAACUACGUG